rnacentral:rRNA from 1 species
ACGCUCGACACCUACGGGUGGCAGCAGUGAGGAAUAUUGGUCAAUGGGCGCUAGCCUGAACCAGCCAAGUAGCGUGAAGGAUGAAGGCUCUAUGGGUCGUAAACUUCUUUUAUAUAAGAAUAAAGUGCAGUAUGUAUACUGUUUUGUAUGUAUUAUAUGAAUAAGGAUCGGCUAACUCCGUGCUAGCAGCCGCGGUAAUCUGAGCGGGCUGGCAAGGC